UUGCUUCAGCAGCACAUAUACUAAAAUGCUGAAUGAUGCAGUGAAGAUGAAUGUGGCCACUAUGCAAGGAUGACAAGCAAACUCGUGAAGAGAUGCAUAUUUUU
ensembl:snRNA U6 U6 spliceosomal RNA